UACGGGGGGAACGAGCGUUGUUCGGAUUUACUGGGCGUAAAGGGCGUGCAGGCGGAUUUUCAAGUCGGAUGUGAAAACCUCGGGCUUAACCCGGGGCCGGCAUCUGAUACUGUUAAUCUUGAGUACGGGAGAGGAAAGUGGAAUUCCAGGUGUAGCGGUGACAUGCGUAGAUAUCUGGAAGAACACCGGUGGCGAAGGCGGCUUUCUGGACCGAUACUGACGCUGAGGCGCGAAAGCCAGGGGAG
rnacentral:rRNA from 1 species